UCCCUGGUGGUCUAGUGGUUAGGAUUUGGCACUUUCACUGCUGCAGCCCAGGUUCGGUCCCUGGCCUAGGAA
rnacentral:tRNA from 1 species